rnacentral:tRNA from 1 species
GGGCAGAUUCCAGAGCGGCCAAAUGGGGCGGACUGUAAAUCCGCUGUCUUUCGACUUCAGAGGUUCGAAUCCUCUUCUGCCCACAA